UGUCUCACUAAUGGCUGCAGUCACCCGGGGGGGGUGGGAAUUCUACGGGAGAGGUGAGAGGGUAAGAGGGUGCCGGAAUUUUCUACUACUGGCUAAAGCUUCUUCUACCGGCUUUGCUGCUGCUGCUGCUCCACUUCGCUCUCUUCUCUCACCGAUCAACUGGAAUGGCACGGAAAUUCUUCGUCGGCGGCAACUGGAAAUGUGUAUGCCAGCACCCCUCAGAACCCCCUUCGUCUCCUAAUGGAACUCUCGAUGAAGUGAAGAAGAUUGUCUCCAUCCUUAAUGAAGCUGAAGUCCCUCCCGAGGACGUUGUUGAGGUUGUGGUGAGCCCUCCUUUCGUGUUUCUUCCACUGGUGAAAAGUUUACUGCGAUCCGAUUUCAGUGUUGCUGCACAAAAUUGUUGGGUACGCAGAGGCGGUGCAUUCACUGGAGAGAUUAGCGCUGAGAUGCUUAUCAACUCGAACAUUCCGUGGGUCAUUGUCGGACAUUCCGAAAGGAGACUGCUUCUGAACGAAUCUAAUGAGUUUGUUGGUGACAAAGUUGCAUACGCACUUCUUCAAGGCUUAAAGGUGAUUGCCUGUGUUGGUGAGACUCUUGAGCAGCGUGAAUCUGGAUCUACCAUGAAUGUUGUUGCUGCACAAACAAAAGCUAUUGCAGAUCGAGUGUCACAUUGGGAGAAUGUAGUUUUAGCUUAUGAGCCUGUCUGGGCCAUUGGCACGGGGAAGGUUGCUACCCCUGCUCAGGCACAGGAGGCACGUCCAUUCAGAAUUGAGGAAGUGGCUCCAUGAUAAUGUUGGUCCAGAAGUAGCUGCUUCAGUAAGAAUCAUAUAUGGAGGGUCUGUUAAUGGAGCAAAUUGCGAAGAACAAGCAGCCCAGCCCGAUGUCGACGGGUUUUUGGUUGGUGGAGCUUCUCUGAAGCCUGAGUUCAUCGACAUAAUCAAAUCUGCCACUGUGAAGAAGAAGUGACUGAAGACCGUAAAGGGCUAUGCAUUCACCUUCUGUCAUGUUAAUUAAGUGCUUUCAAUAGUGGAGUUCCUCAGGUCUGUGUAGAUGAGGAUUUCAGUUCUGAAACGGUUUUUGUUUGAAUAAGUUGCUGUCAGAUAAGGCUAAGACUAGGCAGAAAAACUGUGUGGUCCGAGGAUCCUAUGCCACUAUCAUAUCAUAUGAAUAUUUGCUUAUGAUGUCUCACGAGGUUUCUCCCCCA